UACGUAGGGCGCAAGCGUUAUCCGGAAUUAUUGGGCGUAAAGAGCUCGUAGGCGGUGUGUCGCGUCGGCCGUGAAAACCUGCAGCUUAACUGUGGGCUUGCGGUCGAUACGGGCAUCACUGGAGUUCGGCAGGGGAGACUGGAAUUCCUGGUGUAGCGGUGAAAUGCGCAGAUAUCAGGAGGAACACCGGUGGCGAAGGCGGGUCUCUGGGCCGAUACUGACGCUGAGGAGCGAAAGCGUGGGGAGCAACAGG
rnacentral:rRNA from 1 species